rnacentral:lncRNA from 1 species
UGUCCUAUAAAACCAGAAAACAUAAAAAUUUGUGGGAAAUUGUACCUAAAAAGUUUUUGGUAACUUAGGAUUAUUAGAUAAAGCGGGAUUAUUUUACUAAAACGUAUCACUAUAAACGGUUAAAUUUAUUAAGGAGUAAAUGGAAAUGUUCCGGGAUCUCAAAAUUCUAUUCCUUAAACCGGGAUAUUCCUAUAAGCGGUACUCUAAUAAGCAGGUUCGACUGUAUUU